GACGGAGGAUGCAAGUGUUAUCCGGAAUCACUGGGCGUAAAGGGUCUGUAGGUGGUUUUCUAAGUCUGCUGUUAAAGCUUGAAGCUCAACUUCAAAAAUGCAUCGGAAACUAGAAGACUUGAGUAUGGUAGGGGUAGAGGGAAUUUCCAGUGAAGUGGUGAAAUGCGUAGAUAUUGGAAAGACCACCAAAGGCGAAAGGCACUCUACUGGGCCACAACUGACACUGAGAGACGAAAGCUAGGGGAGCGAAUGGG
rnacentral:rRNA from 1 species